rnacentral:rRNA from 1 species
AUGGAGCGGAUGACCUGUGGAUAGGGGUGAAAGGCCAAUCAAACUCGGUGAUAGCUGGUUCUCCGCGAAAUGCAUUUAGGUGCAGCGUCGUGCGUUCAACGAUGGGGGUAGAGCACUGAAUGGGCUAGGGGUCCUACAAGACUACCGACCCCAAUCAAACUCCGAAUACCAUCGUUCCAGAGCACGGCAGUGAGACCUCGGGGGAUGAGCUUCGAGGUCGAGAGGGAAACAGCCCAGACCGCCGGCUAAGGUCCCAAAAUCUGAACUAAGUGGUAAACGAUGUGAGAUUGCGAAGACAGCCAGGAGGUUGGCUUGGAAGCAGCCAUCCUUGAAAGAGUGCGUAACAGCUCACUGGUCGAGUGAUCUUGCGCGGACAAUGUAACGGGGCUCAAGUUCAGUACCGAAGCCGCGGAUGCGACUCUUUGAGUCGUGUGGUAGCGGAGCGUCGAGCGUGCAGCGAAGCGGCGGGACAACCCAGCCGUGGAGCGCGUUCGAGUGCGAAUGUUGGCAUGAGUAGCGAAUGAGGGGUGAGAACCCCCUCCGCCGUAUGUCCAAGGGUUCCUGGGCGAGGCCAAUCCUCCCAGGGUGAGUCGGGAGCUAAGGCGAGGCCGAGAGGCGUAGUCGAUGCACAACUGGUUGAUAUUCCAGUACCACCAUGUUCGCGUCCGUCCCAAUACUCUGUUGCUAAGGGGCUGUGUUGUCUUCGGUCAACGCGAACCGACCCACAUUGUUGCGGGAAGCUGUAGGGGGACGCAGGAAGGUAGAUGAACCCGGUGAAUGGUAGAACCGGGGUAAGCGUGUAGGAGGAGGACCAGGUAAAUCCGGGCCUCAUAAACUCUGAGACGUGAUACCGAGCCGCUUCAGGCGAAGUCAUUGAUCCUAUGCUGCCUAGAAAAGCCCAGCAGCGAGUUGACAUGGUGCCCGUACCCCAAACCAACACAGGUGGACAGGUAGAGCAUACCAAGGCGAGUGGGAUAACUAUGGUUAAGGAACUCGGCAAGUUGCCUCCGUAACUUCGGGAGAAGGAGGACCCCAGUAGCGUGAUGAGACUUGCUCUCUGAGCGUGAAGGGGUGGCACAAAAUUGAGGGAAGCGACUGUUUACCAAAAACACAGCAGCGUGCUAAGCCGUAAGGCGCUGUAUACGCUGUGACUCCUGCCCGGUGCUGGAAGGUUACGGGGAUGGGUUAGUCCUUCGGGACGAAGCUCUGAACCUAAGCCCCAGUAAACGGCGGCCGUAACUAUAACGGUCCUAAGGUAGCGAAAUUCCUUGUCGGGUAAGUUCCGACCUGCACGAAUGGAGUAACGACUUCCCUACUGUCUCAACCAUAGACCCAGCGAAAUUGAAGUACGAGUAAAGAUGCUCGUUAGCUGCAGAAGGACGGAAAGAC